rnacentral:rRNA from 1 species
GAUGAACGCUGGCGGCGUGCCUAAUACAUGCAAGUCGAGCGAACAGACGAGGAGCUUGCUCCUCUGACGUUAGCGGCGGACGGGUGAGUAACACGUGGAUAACCUACUUAUAAGACUGGGAUAACUUCGGGAAACCGGAGCUAAUACCGGAUAAUAUAUUGAACCGCAUGGUUCAAUAGUGAAAGACGGUUUUGCUGUCACUUAUAGAUGGAUCCGCGCCGCAUUAGCUAGUUGGUAAGGUAACGGCUUACCAAGGCGACGAUGCGUAGCCGACCUGAGAGGGUGAUCGGCCACACUGGAACUGAGACACGGUCCAGACUCCUACGGGAGGCAGCAGUAGGGAAUCUUCCGCAAUGGGCGAAAGCCUGACGGAGCAACGCCGCGUGAGUGAUGAAGGUCUUCGGAUCAUAAAACUCUGUUAUUAGGGAAGAACAAAUGUGUAAGUAACUAUGCACGUCUUGACGGUACCUAAUCAGAAAGCCACGGCUAACUACGUG